rnacentral:rRNA from 1 species
UACGAAGGGGGCAAGCGUUGUUCGGAAUUAUUGGGCGUAAAGGGAGCGUAGGCGGUUCGGCAAGUCUUUAGUGAAAUCCCCGGGCUCAACCUGGGAACUGCAUUUGUGACUGCAUGGCUAGAGUGCGGUAGAGGAUGGUGGAAUUCCCGGUGUAGCGGUGAAAUGCGUAGAGAUCGGGAGGAACACCCGUGGCGAAGGCGGCCAUCUGGACCAGCACUGACGCUGAGGCACGAAAGCGUGGGGAGCAAACAGG